rnacentral:rRNA from 1 species
UGCUGGAGGUAUCAGAAGUGCGAAUGCUGACAUAAGUAACGAUAAAGCGGGUGAAAAGCCCGCUCGCCGGAAGACCAAGGGUUCCUGUCCAACGUUAAUCGGGGCAGGGUGAGUCGACCCCUAAGGCGAGGCCGAAAGGCGUAGUCGAUGGGAAACAGGUUAAUAUUCCUGUACUUGGUGUUACUGCGAAGGGGGGACGGAGAAGGCUAUGUUGGCCGGGCGACGGUUGUCCCGGUUUAAGCGUGUAGGCUGGUUUUCCAGGCAAAUCCGGAAAACCAAGGCUGAGGCGUGAUGACGAGGCACUACGGUGCUGAAGCGACAAAUGCCCUGCUUCCAGGAAAAGCCUCUAAGCAUCAGGUAACAUCAAAUCGUACCCCAAACCGACACAGGUGGUCAGGUAGAGAAUACCAAGGCGCUUGAGAGAACUCGGGUGAAGGAACUAGGCAAAAUGGUGCCGUAACUUCGGGAGAAGGCACGCUGAUAUGUAGGUGAAGCGACUUGCUCGUGGAGCUGAAAUCAGUCGAAGAUACCAGCUGGCUGCAACUGUUUAUUAAAAACACAGCACUGUGCAAACACGAAAGUGGACGUAUACGGUGUGACGCCUGCCCGGUGCCGGAAGGUUAAUUGAUGGGGUUAGCGGUAACGCGAAGCUCUUGAUCGAAGCCCCGGUAAACGGCGGCCGUAACUAUAACGGUCCUAAGGUAGCGAAAUUCCUUGUCGGGUAAGUUCCGACCUGCACGAAUGGCGUAAUGAUGGCCAGGCUGUCUCCACCCGAGACUCAGUGAAAUUGAACUCGCUGUGAAGAUGCAGUGUACCCGCGGCAAGACGGAAAGACCCCGUGAACCUUUACUAUAGCUUGACACUGAACAUUGAGCCUUGAUGUGUAGGAUAGGUGGGAGGCUUUGAAGUGUGGACGCCAGUCUGCAUGGAGCCGACCUUGAAAUACCACCCUUUAAUGUUUGAUGUUCUAACGUUGGCCCGUAAUCCGGGUUGCGGACAGUGUCUGGUGGGUAGUUUGACUGGGGCGGUCUCCUCCUAAAGAGUAACGGAGGAGCACGAAGGUUGGCUAAUCCUGGUCGGACAUCAGGAGGUUAGUGCAAUGGCAUAAGCCAGCUUGACUGCGAGCGUGACGGCGCGAGCAGGUGCGAAAGCAGGUCAUAGUGAUCCGGUGGUUCUGAAUGGAAGGGCCAUCGCUCAACGGAUAAAAGGUACUCCGGGGAUAACAGGCUGAUACCGCCCAAGAGUUCAUAUCGACGGCGGUGUUUGGCACCUCGAUGUCGGCUCAUCACAUCCUGGGGCUGAAGUAGGUCCCAAGGGUAUGGCUGUUCGCCAUUUAAAGUGGUACGCGAGCUGGGUUUAGAACGUCGUGAGACAGUUCGGUCCCUAUCUGCCGUGGGCGCUGGAGAACUGAGGGGGGCUGCUCCUAGUACGAGAGGACCGGAGUGGACGCAUCACUGGUGUUCGGGUUGUCAUGCCAAUGGCACUGCCCGGUAGCUAAAUGCGGAAGAGAUAAGUGCUGAAAGCAUCUAAGCACGAAACUUGCCCCGAGAUGAGUUCUCCCUGAGACUUAGAGUCUCCUGAAGGAACGUUGAAGACGACGACGUUGAUAGGCCGGGUGUGUAAGCGCAGCGAUGCGUUGAGCUAACCGGUACUAAUGAACCGUGAGGCUUAACCUU